rnacentral:rRNA from 1 species
GUAGGUGGCAAGCGUUGUCCGGAAUUAUUGGGCGUAAAGCGCGCGCAGGGCGGUCCUUUAAGUCUGAUGUGAAAGCCCACGGCUCAACCGUGGAGGGUCAUUGGAAACUGGGGGACUUGAGUACAGAAGAGGGAAGCGGAAUUCCAAGUGUAGCGGUGAAAUGCGUAGAGAUUUGGAGGAACACCAGUGGCGAAGGCGGCUUUCUGGUCUGUAACUGACGCUGAGGCGCGAAAGCGUGGGGAGCAAACAGGAUUAGAUACCCUGGUAGUCCACGCCGUAAACGAUGAGUGCUAAGUGUUAGGGGGUUUCCGCCCCUUAGUGCUGCAGCUAACGCAUUAAGCACUCCGCCCGGGGAGUACGGCCGCAAAGGCUG